UAGCAGCUGCUCUUUAAGCUUGAGGGAACUCUGGCUGACACACAGAAUCCCAGAUCAAGAGCCAGAAAGUUGUCUGCACAAGCCUGGAGAUGGCCCAGCAGUCCACACACCAUUGAACACUCUAGAAGCCCCUUGAAACUGGAACUGUGCCUAAUUUUGCUCUCCAACAAGCAUUUGCUCCUGGCCCAGUGCCUGGUGAUGCUGACCAGGAGGAAGGUCCUGGUUUGGUGAAAACGGGUCACCUAAGGUAAGACUUUAAAGGAUGUACCUUGUCUAUGGCUCCUCCCUGACUCUCAAUCUAUCUCCCGGAACACAGGUGAACAGUUUUGCUCCAGUACGAGCUCUGCACAGUGAUUCUCUGUUUCACAUUAAGCUGAUGACCAGGGCCCAUCUGGCCACACAACGAAACUCCUGAGCUGUGAGCCAAAACAGAUCCUGCUGCUUUCAAGGGUUCUAUUCCCCAGGCAUAUCACCACAUCAAUGCAAAAAUUUGACUAACACAGCUAAGGAUAAGUUACGGAGGC